rnacentral:lncRNA from 1 species
CCACCUGCAACUUCCGGAAGCGCGGUUCCAACCCCGUGUUCGGGAUCGCAGGAUGCAGGGACGCAUUGCAUGUCCAGGCGCACUGUCAAUGUAUUGGUGCUUGGUUUCAUGGGUUUGCGCUAUGUUGGGGCGGCUCCCUGGUCGAUGGACAUGUCGUUGAUGGCCUCACAUAGUCACCUACCGACUUGCGCUCGGGUCCGUGGCGCCUUCACAGGCAGCCAGGGGCCUCUAUAGAUGUUGGCCUCUCGAUAUUUAGCCCAGCUAUAUACAUAUGCCAUGGAAAGUGUGACGCACCCGGUGCGUUUGCGCUACAGCGCGAUUUAGCUCGAACCAACUAGCAUGAUCGAUUAUUCGCAGCUUCCUGUAUACGUGAUCUUCUUUUCAGGCCGCGAGAGCGAGUGCAGCGUAUGAACGAAGCCGGUAACUGCGCUUUCUUGGCUUCCUUGAGGAUGCGCGCAGCUAUAACGUACAGUGCGAUGUAUUAGCGACACAGUCUGGCCUGCCAGAGCGCGUACUUGCAAGAAUUUCAGAGCGGGCUCGUUCCGAUCGGCUGGGAUGAAAGCGUACACGAUAUGUGUGAGCAGC